CAGAGGGUGCGAGCGUUAAUCGGAAUUACUGGGCGUAAAGCGCGCGUAGGCGGCUUAGCAAGUCGGGUGUGAAAUCCCCGGGCUCAACCUGGGAACUGCAUUCGAGACUGCUUUGCUUGAGUAUGGGAGAGGGAGGCGGAAUUUCCGGUGUAGCGGUGAAAUGCGUAGAUAUCGGAAGGAACAUCAGUGGCGAAAGCGGCCUCCUGGACCAAUACUGACGCUCAUGUGCGAAAGCGUGGGGAGCAAACAGGAUUAGAUACCCUGGUAGUCCACGCCAUAAACGAUGAGAACUAGAUGUCGGGAGGGUUAGCCUCUCGGUGUCGCAGCUAACGCGUUAAGUUCUCCGCCUGGGGAGUACGGCCGCAAGGUUG
rnacentral:rRNA from 1 species